rnacentral:sRNA from 1 species
CCACAAGCCCCACAAACAACCAAGUCAGAGUCUCUCAUGGGUGAAGAACCAUGCUUGCGGACAAGCUUCCAGAGACGCUGAAAAUUCAGUCAUUUCUGAUCUCUCCCCACCCCCAUGUGGAGGCAGUCUCCUUCUCUGUGAACAUUCAAUCUCCCUACGAAAACAACAUGUUUACGAAGCACCUGUAUCCUGUUGGCGAUUUCCAUCCCUUGGAGAUACUCUCCUUCGUGCAAGCCAGGUGGAAGGAACAGAUAAGGAAACCAAGGCCCCAGGCAACCAAGGAGUUUUCCCAAGACCCCAUAGCAACAAAUGAUGGGGUCUUUAUUUGAACCUAAAUCUGCUGCUUUGUCCUGACUCUAGGUCCAUGCGCUUUCCUGUUCCCUCCCCCCACACCCCUUCUCCAGUCUGCAGCGAGCUUCUCUGCAUAGCUUCCGCACCCGUUUUUUUUGUUUGUUUUGUUUGUUUGUUUUGUUUUGUUUUGACAGUGCUUUAUCACUAACCCAGUUCUCACUCCCUAACUCCCAGAUGCUCCUUACUGUUGCUGCUGCUGUUACUGUUGUCAUCAAGACCUGCGAAUUACAGUGUUUCCCUCCGCUAGGUGUGGUGCCAGAUUCGUUACAUGGUAUCUUAUUAAACCCUCACAACACCA